ACGCGUACGCAACAAAUGACGCGUACGCGUGGGCGACGCGUACGCAUGACAGAGCCAUGUGUUGUACGUAUCAGAAAAUACUGGGGGCGAUUUCUGGGCUAUUUUUGGCCCAGUUUCAAGCCCUAAAACACUUAUUAGAGAUUACAGAG